rnacentral:SRP_RNA from 1 species
GCUGGGCAUGGUGGUGCGUGCCUGUAGUCCCAGCUACUUGGGAGGCUGAGGCAGAAGAAUUGCUUGAACCCAGGAGGUGGAGGUUGCAGUGAGCUGAGAUCAUGCCACCGCACUCCAGCCUGGGCAACAGAGCAAGACUCCGUCUCAA